rnacentral:rRNA from 1 species
GAUGAACGCUAGCGGCAGGCCUAAUACAUGCAAGUCGAGGGGCAGCAGGGAUAGCAAUAUUCGCUGGCGACCGGCGCACGGGUGCGUAACACGUAUACAAUCUGCCUUUAACUGGGGGAUAGCCCGGAGAAAUCCGGAUUAAUACCCCAUAAUAAUUUGACUGGCAUCAGUUAGAUUUGAAAGCUCCGGCGGUUAGAGAUGAGUAUGCGACUGAUUAGCUAGUUGGUGAGGUAACGGCUCACCAAGGCAACGAUCAGUAGGGGAUCUGAGAGGAUUAACCCCCACACGGAGUACUGAGACACGGAGU